UCCGUAGGCGGGUUUAUAAGUCAGUGGUGAGAGUUUGCGGCUCAACCGUAAAAUUGCCAUUGAUACUGUAGACCUUGAAUUAGUGUGAAGUGGUUAGAAUGUGUAGUGUAGCGGUGAAAUGCAUAGAUAUUACACAGAAUACCAAUUGCGAAGGCAGAUCACUAACACUAUAUUGACGCUGAGGGACGAAAGCGUGGGGAGCGAACAGGAUUAGAUACCCUGGUAGUCC
rnacentral:rRNA from 1 species